ACUCGUUCGGGAUUCAGGCUGUAUAUGAGUUAGUGAGGACUGAAGAGAGGAGAGUUAAACAAACAAGCAAACAAACAAACACACAGGGCAAGAAAACAGGACCCAACAGCAGACGCUGACACCCUCCCGACCUGCAGUGCAGAGUGAUUCCAAGAACCGCGCGCGACAUUCCGUGUCUCAGGAAAGAUGGUACCCACACUAAGCUCAGCCAAGAACGGCCUCCGCGCCCGCUUAAUUUUCCGAACCUGUUCUUGUGGUGCUGAUGGGGAGGGUGGCCGGGAAGAGAGGAGAGACCACUGAUCAAGUUGCUGUUUGUAUAUUGGUUGAUUGCUGUUUGCUGUUUGUUUAUUGAUUGAUUUUUUUUUUUUAUUGGCCCCUGGCCGAGGAUGAGCUAAGAAGCCUUUUGCAUACCUUGACCUGACCUCACUUAUCCUUCCACACUUCUACACCCUUUUCCUUCCUGCGCAGGGUCCUGAGCAGGUCUAAAUCAAGCAGUGCUUAGAGCCUCCCACAACGGGCCUUCAACCAUAUUUGGAAGAAAAGAAGGAAUCCAGAGAGGAAAUGGUUACCUGUGCUUACAGGCGGUCUGCACCACAAGCGCUGACUCAGCAAGAGGAAACUCUGCGUACCCCUGUCCCGAAAGCCCCUUGAGCAAGGACGUCAGAAAGAGACUAAAAUGGAGGGACAGCCUCCGAGGGCCCUGGAGCAGGGUAACAUGAGAUCUAUGACUAUCUAGUCAUUCGCUACCUGCAUUUGAAAGCAUAUGCAUUAUUAUGGUUGUCACCAUUUAUAGUAGUAUACUUAGACGUUGUCCAUCGAAUCUGGACGCAUACUCAAUUUGAAACUAAAUAAAACCUAAAGGAACAUAGGUGACCAUGAGGGACUCCAGGGAACAUUCUCUGGGACGGAACUCUGUGAAGAGUGGAGAAGAGGCCUCUAGGAUCAAGCUAUUCAUCAUGGAUACAGCCUCAGAUCCAGGACCUCCACCCUCUGGUGCAGUAUUUCCAGGAUAUUAGUGGGGGACUGUGGACCAUUCAAGCCUUGGAACAAGUCUAGCCCAACCACUGUCUAACUUUGCUGCUGACGGAAGCCUGACCCAGCCCUGACCUCGUAGACCUUAUAGGAAUAUGUUCUCAGCUCACUGCUCCACAUUUCUGGCCCUGUGACCUCACCAAACAAACACCUGCCUAUCUCAGAGCAUUGUAUCUAUUCAUGUUGAUUUCUGUCUCUUCCUUAUUAGUCUCUUGCACAAACCAUGAACUGGAUGAAAGCAAGAACGGGAUCGUUUGGGUUCUGUGGGUGACAUCAGGACUUGACUGUGGACUUGACUUGCAUCUGGCACAGCCUGCUCGCCAGCUCCUGUUCCCUUGCCCACCUGUUCUUUGACCUUGAACGCCCAACCCCUUUUUCUUGGCAUCAGUAUCGUCCUCUCUAAGAGCAGAGAUUAGGAUUAAUAAAUCUAUGACGUGCUUGUCACAGGGACUAAUG
ensembl:lincRNA 4833407H14Rik RIKEN cDNA 4833407H14 gene